AAAAGGAAAGCACGACCAAAGAGUUUACAGCAUCAAGUCCUUCUUUCUGCCAUCAAAAUUUUGCAAUAGAGAGAGCAUGACUUCCUCUUCUCAUAAGGUGAGAAGACAUAGAAAAUGGAAACCUGGCAGUUAAGCACUUUUACCUCCUCCAAGAAGGAGCUGCUUUAAACAACCGUGAAUAUGAAAACAGUACAAAGUUCUUUUAAAACCAAAGAAAAUUACUGAAUAUUCUUGUUAAUUAAAAUAGGUCUUGGGGAGGAGGGUUAAUGAGCAUCAUUGAAACAUUGCUGUGGUGACCUCACUAGUUAAUUUUUACAUUAAUUCUUAUGCAUUAUAUUGUAAUGUUGCAUGCAUUACGUGCAAAAUUGUACUUGUAUAUUUGUGUGUAUCCACAAAAUGUCUACAAAAGGAAGAGAUUUCCUAAACUGUUCAUAUGGGCAUGAAUUGCCAUUUUAUCAGCAAGGACAGAAAAAGGCAAUAGAUUUUAUAGAUACACCGUCUCACUGGGAUCAGCUGGAACAUACACAGUUCACUUUUGGACCAGAAAAACCUACCUCAGCAGUAUUUUUGUUUGUCUUCACUGCAAUUUAUAUCUCCCAAGGAAAUGGUACUGCCUGUGUGAGGAAAGGGAAAAAAAGCAAUCUUUUGUCCUCUGGAGAGAAAAGAAAAUGUAUUCUUACUGACUCCAGUUUUUCUACAUUCAGAGAUACCAAUUCUACUAACUUUGAUGGUUAUUUUUGGAAAGCUGAUGUAGAGAAUAUGCAGGCAGUUAUUAAGCCAUUUGUCUAUUAUAGCAGAAGAUUAGGAAGGGUUUGAUCUUCACUCAUGCAAGGGCAUUGUCUUUACUUAUAAAAGCUCUGCACUGAGCACACAGGGGUUCCUAACCUGGGGCUAGAUCACACCCUCAGCCUCCCCUAUUAAACCCUGGGAGGGGUUUUUCUUGUGGACUUUCCCAAACAUCAUCCAGUCAAGAGGGCAACAGUUACUGCUCUCCUCUUCCCCCACCACCAUCACCAUUUCCUCCCUUGCGGACUGAUCUGUAGGGCUGGUUCACAAGUUCCAGGGACCCCUUGGGACCCAGAAAGCAUUGGUGCCCCCACAAAAGGCCUUGUUCUCCAGAUCCCCUCUAGAACCCUGCUGCUGCUGCUGCCCAGUAUCUCCUGGCUUUGCAGCUGACUGCUAGAGGCAGCUCCCUGGGUCAUUUGGGUCUUUCUAUUUCCACCCUUGAUCUGGAAAGGUAAUAUAGAUCCAUGCAGUAAAGUGGAAAAGCAAAGCUCCUCUUGGGAAUUGCCUCUGGGGAUUAUUCAGCGAACAAAAAAGUUAUCUAAACAGUCAUGAAAAAGCAGUACAGCCCCAUAGCGAAAAAGAAAUAGAGG
ensembl:lncRNA